rnacentral:rRNA from 1 species
CCUACGGGGGGCAGCAGUGGGGAAUAUUGGACAAUGGGGGCAACCCUGAUCCAGCCAUGCCGCGUGUGUGAAGAAGGCCCUCGGGUUGGAAAGCACUUUCAGUGAGGAAGAACGCCUGGUGGUUAAUACCCAUCAGGAAAGACAUCACUCACAGAAGAAGCACCGGCUAACUCCGUGCCAGCAGCCGCGGUAAUACGGAGGGUGCGAGCGUUAAUCGGAAUUACUGGGCGUAAAGCGCGCGUAGGUGGCUUGAUAAGCCGGUUGUGAAAGCCCCGGGCUCAACCUGGGAACGGCAUCCGGAACUGUCAAGCUAGAGUGCAGGAGAGGAAGGUAGAAUUCCCGGUGUAGCGGUGAAAUGCGUAGAGAUCGGGAGGAAUACCAGUGGCGAAGGCGGCCUUCUGGACUGACACUGACACUGAGGUGCGAAAGCGUGGGUAGCAAACAGGAUUAGAUACCCGUGUAGUC